rnacentral:rRNA from 1 species
AGUGAACGCUGGCGGUAGGCCUAACACAUGCAAGUCGAACGGCAGCACAGUAAGAGCUUGCUCUUACGGGUGGCGAGUGGCGGACGGGUGAGGAAUACAUCGGAAUCUACUUUUUCGUGGGGGAUAACGUAGGGAAACUUACGCUAAUACCGCAUACGACCUACGGGUGAAAGCAGGGGAUCCUCGGACCUUGCGCGAUUGAAUGAGCCGAUGUCGGAUUAGCUAGUUGGCGGGGUAAAGGCCCACCAGGGCGACGAUCCGUAGCUGGUCUGAGAGGAUGAUCAGCCACACUGGAACUGAGACACGGUCCAGACUCCUACGGGAGGCAGCAGUGGGGAAUAUUGGACAAUGGGCGCAAGCCUGAUCCAGCCAUACCGCGUGGGUGAAGAAGGCCUUCGGGUUGUAAGGCCCUUUUGUUGGGAAAGAAAAGCAGCAGGUUAAUACCCCGCUGUUCUGACGGUACCCAAAGAAUAAGCACCGGCUAACUUCGUG